GACGAACGCUGGCGGCGUGCCUAAUACAUGCAAGUUGAGCGCUGAAGGUUGGUACUUGUACCAACUGGAUGAGCAGCGAACGGGUGAGUAACGCGUGGGGAAUCUGCCUUUGAGCAGGGGACAACAUUUGGAAACGAAUGCUAAUACCGCAUAAAAACUUUAAACACAAGUUUUAAGUUUGAAAGAUGCAAUUGCAUCACUCAAAGAUGAUCCCGCGUUGUAUUAGCUAGUUGGUGAGGUAAAGGCUCACCAAGGCGAUGAUACAUAGCCGACCUGAGAGGGUGAUCGGCCACAUUGGGACUGAGACACGGCCCAAACUCCUACGGGAGGCAGCAGUAGGGAAUCUUCGGCAAUGGACGAAAGUCUGACCGAGCAACGCCGCGUGAGUGAAGAAGGUUUUCGGAUCGUAAAACUCUGUUGGUAGAGAAGAACGUUGGUGAGAGUGUAAAGCUCACCAAGUGACGGUAACUACCCAGAAAGGGACGGCUAACUACGUG
rnacentral:rRNA from 1 species